GUUGGGUGUCUUGGGGAGGGGGAUGGGCUCCCUCAGCGCCCCCCGCAGGUGGCCCCGCCUCUCCUGGAUCACCUGUCGGAUACUGCGGACCCACUCCUGCUUCAGCUCCAGCGACGACGCCUGCGGAGGGAGAGAGAGUGACGAGGUGAACAAACAAGCAAACCUUUAUCGACAGGUCAAACAACGAGGUGAAGUUACUCACUUUCAGCACCGUCUUGUUGUCGGACGUCGGCGUUCGUCCGACCCACAGAGCAAACUUACAGGGGUCGCCCUCGAUGUGCUCUGUCACACCGAGCUCCGAGGUCUGACGGAGCGACAGGAAGCAAACAGGUAUUUGGUUCGUCCAGACGAGUCCUUGAUUUCCUUGCUGAAGAUGAGCGACAGCUCGAACAGGAAGAGAUGUCGGUCGCGUCCCUUCCUGAUCAGAGACUUCGGCUCCCAGACCGGGAAGGAGUCCUGGAGGAGGAGCUCACCCUGGACCUCCAGACCCUCCUCCAGACCUGACAGUGAAAUGAACAGAUGUCCUGGAUGUUUCCGAACACGAUGUCGUCCUUGUUGUUGAGACCAGACGGGACGUCCUCUGAGCCGCUCGUCAUCUCCCACAGGUACGUCUGCACCAGGAUACAGUGUUACCAUUACGUUCUUGCUGUCACACGAGGAUAAACUCUGAAUCUCAACUGAAGCCGACAUGAACAUAACGUCCAGAUGAAUCUCACAUUAAAUGAAAAUAUCACCAUGUACAACCUUCAUCUGCAUGUGAUAUGAUCGAAUGGUCCAUAGCAUUUACUAAUUUGAUCUUUUGGUAAGAUUUUGGUACUACAUGGAAAAAUGUAGUGACAUAUGUCACAACGCAGUAUUAUAGAAUAUAUAAAUACAGUGAUAUUAAUGUUACUGUGAAGUUUACCUCAAUACACUCCUGCAGAUCUCUGACAUAAACUCUCUCUGUCUGAAGGAGCUCUGCCAUGAUGUACCUGAAAACACAAGUACACACAAACAGAGUUGUUAUCAGUGGAUAUACAUCAGUACCUGUAGUACUAGUACUAAUAGUAAUACUACUCACUCUUUCUUGCGAGCGGAGCGUCUCUUCUCGUCGCUGACCUGGUGGCUGGGGUCGGACAGGUUGACCUCGGGGUCGGAGUCAGACAGACUGUUGGGGAUCAGCUCCAGCUCCAGGUCCUUAUUGUUCUGUCAGGGCCACCGUACGUUAAAGUCAGUCGCUGUCAGUCUUACACUUACACCAGUUAAAUAUCCACGCACAUUUUAACUCUACCUGUGAGCAGCCUCCUAGCGCCGUCUCCAGCAGGUGGCGGUACUGUCCCAUCCUGAAGGUGAAGUCGCGGUAACGCUUGUCGACGGUGGAGACGCAGCGGCGGAGCUCAUUGCGGUGGGCGUGGCCUUUAGCCAGCAUGCUCUCAGCCAGCUGGAUCAGCAGAAACACAGAACUCUCUGUGUUGGUUCAACAGUUCUUGAGUCUCGGCCAUAUUUGCCCCCGGCGACGUGUGCGUGGUGAGGUAGUGGUCACCUGACUGCUGCAGCCAAUCCAGAGCCUGGAACAAAAGGACGCGUUAAGCCUCAGUCAAAAUUUCUCAAUACAAUUUUAAGGAAUGAGUCGAUUUUCUACCUGCUGGGUGUGGCUCUGGAACAUCAGAUACUGCUGGCACUGAUCCAGUCGACGCUUCUUCAACGUCCAGAAAUGAAGGACUCUGUUUUCUCUCUGCAGCAGCUCACUGAGUAUACCUGCACACAAACGGAAAUUAACUCUUUAACAUCCACAUAUAUGUAUAAACAAAUUAACCGUGGCGUUCCUCAGGGCUCCAUCCUGGCUCCACUCCUCUUCUCUAUUUACUCUGACCAUGUAAAUGUGUGUGUGUGUGUGUGUGUGUGUGUGUGUGUGUAUGUGUGUGUGUGUUUGUGUGUGUGCUUAUUCACCUUUGACCUGUUGCUCCGGUACCCUGGAGUGCCCGGUGACCUCGGUAACCCCGGAGACGGUGACGCUGUGGCCAGAUAUGUUCGCCAUGGUGACGCUGUUGCGAUGGAUGUACUUAAGGAAAACCUCAGCAUUUCGUCUGGCCAGCGUGCAGGCCUGUUGCCAUGGAAACAAAACAGAACGCCUCCUUCUGCUCCAUGUGUUUAUUGACGAGCGGCAGCAGCAGCUCCGGUUGCCGCUCUCCUCCUCCACACCAGUCCUCCUCCCGACGGUACUCCUGCUCCAGACUCUCAAGCACCCCACACACCUGGAGACACAGACAGACAGACAGGGGACUCACCUGACGAGCAGCUCUGCUCUCUGCUGCAGAGCCAGAGCCACCUGAUGCGUCCUCUGCAGGGAGUCAGCGUGGAGCAGCGCCUGAGGAGGAGACGAUUGAGAGAAUACAGACAGACCAGUUACCUCUAUUGCCUGCUGGAGGCGCUCGUGUUCCCUCUGCAGCUGCUCGGCUUCAGAUAAACAGCUGGAGUUCAACAUGCAGGACGACAACAUGACCUCGCCCUCCGAGAUCCAACCGAGCACCUGAGACACAGACAGGUGGCGCUGCAGCUCCUCCACCUGAGAGGAGAGGCCCCCCUCGGCCUCCGACAGCUCGAUACC